rnacentral:rRNA from 1 species
CGGUGGAUGCCCUGGCAGUCAGAGGCGAUGAAGGGCGUGCUAAUCUGCGAUAAGCGCCGGUAAGGUGAUAUGAACCGUUAUAACCGGCGAUACCCGAAUGGGGAAACCCAGUGUGAUUCGUCACACUAUCAUUAACUGAAUCCAUAGGUUAAUGAGGCGAACCGGGGGAACUGAAACAUCUAAGUACCCCGAGGAAAAGAAAUCAACCGAGAUUCCCCCAGUAGCGGCGAGCGAACGGGGAGGAGCCCAGAGCCUGAAUCAGCAUGUGUGUUAGUGGAAGCGUCUGGAAAGGCGCGCGAUACAGGGUGACAGCCCCGUACACAAAAGCGCAUGUGCUGUGAGCUCGAUGAGUAGGGCGGGACACGUGGUAUCCUGUCUGAAUAUGGGGGGACCAUCCUCCAAGGCUAAAUACUCCUGACUGACCGAUAGUGAACCAGUACCGUGAGGGAAAGGCGAAAAGAACCCCGGCGAGGGGAGUGAAAAAGAACCUGAAACCGUGUACGUACAAGCAGUGGGAGCACAGGUUUACCUGUGUGACUGCGUACCUUUUGUAUAAUGGGUCAGCGACUUAU